GACAGAGGCCUCAAGCGUUAGGCGGAAUCACUGGGCUUAAAGCGUGUGUAGGCGGAUCGUUAAGUGUCUUGUGAAAUCCCACGGCUCACCCGUGGAACUGCUGGGCAUACUGGCGAUCUUGGGCCAACUAGGGGCAACUGGAACAAGCGGUGGAGCGGUGAAAUGCGUAGAUAUCGCUUGGAACGCCAACGGUGAAAACAGGUUGCUGGGGUUGUGCCGACGCUGAGACACGAAAGCCAGGGGAGCAAAACGGG
rnacentral:rRNA from 1 species